GAGUUUGAUCAUGGCUCAGAUUGAACGCUGGCGGCAUGCCUUACACAUGCAAGUCGAACGGCAGCAUGAUCUAGCUUGCUAGAUUGAUGGCGAGUGGCGAACGGGUGAGUAAUACAUCGGAACGUGCCCUGUAGUGGGGGAUAACUAGUCGAAAGAUUAGCUAAUACCGCAUACGACCUGAGGGUGAAAGUGGGGGACCGCAAGGCCUCAUGCUAUAGGAGCGGCCGAUGUCUGAUUAGCUAGUUGGUGGGGUAAAGGCCCACCAAGGCGACGAUCAGUAGCUGGUCUGAGAGGACGAUCAGCCACACUGGGACUGAGACACGGCCCAGACUCCUACGGGAGGCAGCAGUGGGGAAUUUUGGACAAGUGGGCGAAAGCCUGAUCCAGCAAUGCCGCGUGUGUG
rnacentral:rRNA from 1 species